AUUGUGCUGAGGGGAAAAUUUCAUCUUCCUGCCUCUUUUAUUCCCUUUUCCCGGAAAACAGGGAGCAGGGAAAGGGCUCUGGGAUGGAUCCCACACGGAGCACAAGGGCCCCGGGCCCACAGGAGCCAAGAAUUUGGGGCAACAUUUCUGAGCCUCGCUUUUGUUCCUGGAUGGAAAACCCCCGGGAUCCAUGGGAGCAGCACCUCCUUCCAGGAACCAAAGGGCCCUGGGGGGCCCUCACUGUACCCGGGAUGGGAGAGCACCUGGGAAGGAGAUUCCAGCUGGGUGGCACCGCUGUGGGACACGAGGAUCCAAGUUUUCACGUGCUCUUGGCUUCCCCCUCCCAAAGGAAGCUGGUUAAUCCCACUGGGAAUCCCACCAGCAGGAAUGCUGAAGGUAAAAAUGGGGUGCAAUGGGGAAAGGGCUCCCAGCAGCCAGAGGGAAGGAAUGGGAGGAGAGAGGAGCUGGAAUGCCGUGGUUUGGAAAGGUCUGGUGUCUCAUAACCUGCCAGAAAUAGAAGCAAACCCUAUCCAGGGGCCUGGCUCCUCAUCUCCCACUGAUCCCACCCAAUCCAGAGGGGGCUCCUGCCUUUCCCACCCUAAAAGGAGCCCACAAGGAGCAGGUUUGGGGGGUCAGGCACCCCCAGGCCCUGGGUUCUCCCGGGGUUCCAGGGGCACAGCCAUUCCUGCAGGAUCCUGCUCUGUCCCUCCAGGGCGUUCCUGGCACUGCCCCAGGCCUGAUUUAGCAGCCCAGGAGCUGGAGAAUUUCCAUUCCUUCUAAUGUUACCGGGAAUGGCUGAAUGCAGGGGGACAGCGAGCCACCCAGGGGGGCAACCCAGGUCCCUGCUGACUCGGGAAGGGCAGAGAACACCUUCCAAACCAUGGAUUAGCUGGGAAAACACACCAGGAAGGCACCUCUGGAAGGCAAAACACUCCAGCUUCUCAUGCUGGAAGGGGCAGGAACAUCAG